GAUUUUGACAAUAUGACAAAUGUAAACAAAGUUGAUCCUCUCAUCAAAAUCUACAACUUUUAUUUUGGUUACUUCUUCAUCCGACAAAGUGAUAGUACCAAUGUUUACAAAAUUGACAUAUCUGUGUUGAUAUUUAUAAACCAGAUGAGAGAAAUGUGAUUUUUGUGAAUAAUAUAACUAUCACUUUGUCGGAUGAAGAAGUAACCAAAAUAAAAGUUGUAGAUUUUGAUGAGAGGAUCAACUUUGUUGUUGACCAUAUUUCCAUUUGAAAUC
rnacentral:pre_miRNA from 1 species